rnacentral:rRNA from 1 species
UACAGGGGGUGCAAACGUUGCUCGGAAUCAUUGGGCGUAAAGCGCACGUCGGCGGUUCGUUAUGUCGGAUGUGAAAGCCCUUGGCUUAACCGAGGAAGUGCAUCCGAAACUGGCGAGCUAGAGUACUAAAGAGGAUCGCGGAAUUCCCGGUGUAGAGGUGAAAUUCGUAGAUAUCGGGAGGAACACCGGUGGCGAAGGCGGCGAUCUGGGUAGAUACUGACGCUGAGGUGCGAAAGCGUGGGGAGCAAACAGG